rnacentral:lncRNA from 1 species
CGGAAAGUCCCUCAGCAGGAAGGAAAUGUGUGAAGUCUUCCUAGAGUCACAAAAUCCUAGCCAUGGUGUCUUAGUGGGGACAAAUUCAUAGUGAGCUUCCUCUCCUGCCGCAAACGCAGAACCUCUGUCCUGACUUCUUUGGUCAUACACCAAUACUCCAAGGUGUGACCAGCAAGCUGUGAAUCUAUUCACCACCCCUAGUCAUGCAGACUCCUGGUUCAUUCACCACAGUGAUCAUUCAGGAGGCUUCUCGCCCUUUCAAGACCCAUCCUGACCUGUGACCAUGCAGACUUCUGGUGUUUGGUGCUCAUGAAUUACACCUUCUGGUGGUGUCUGCAGUUCUUCUACUUCCCUUGGGUAAAUACUUAUGAGUGAACUUGCCAAGUCAAAAACUAUUCUAUUGGGUACGCUGGUACAUCAUUUGACUCUGAUUGGUGAUUUGCUAACGCUGCUGGUCAUUCUUUCCUAUGAUUGGGGGCAUCUCUUUAUUUCCUCUUGUGACCUGGUAUUUCCUAUUUUGGUUGCCUUUCUGACUUUGCUCUUGGUCAUGGGACAUAUUACAUACAAAGAACAAAAGCCCAAGGCUGAGAGAUGGUAAAGAGAUUGGACUAGACUCUUGGUGGGUAAAGUGCUUGCCAUGAAAACCUCGUGAGCUGAAUUUGGAUCAAUAGAACUUACGUAAAGCUGGACACAGUAAGAUACACACAUGUCAUCAAGCAUUCAUAUGGUGACAUGGGAGGCAGGCAGCAAAAAUCCCUGCAGGCUUGCAGGCCAGCUAGCCUGGCAGACACAGCUGAGAACAAGAGACUGCCUGGAACCAGGCAAAGACUCCUGAGAUUGCCUUCUGCAUGCAUACGCCUGAACUCAUACCCACUGUAUGUACAGAAGGAACGAGAGCCCUCUGUUAGAUGUGAAAACUGAAUCCUUAAAAUUGUAGCAUGCCAGUGCUUUCCCAUUCUUUCG